rnacentral:rRNA from 1 species
GCUAAGGCCCCUAAAUGACUGCUAAGUGGCAAAGGAGGUGAGAAUGCACAGACAACCAGGAGGUUUGCUUAGAAGCAGCCACCCUUAAAAGAGUGCGUAAUAGCUCACUGGUUGAGCGUUUUUGCGCCGAAAAUGAACGGGACUAAGCAGUCUGCCGAAGCUGUGGGAUUUUGAAAUAAUCUGAACCAAGUUCAGACAAAGGAACAGUCUUUUGUUUGAUUCUUACCAUCUACGAUGGUCUGAAUUCUCCUUGUGGUAACCUAGAAGGUAACCCAUAAAGGACAAGAACUCUGUUCGAUUCGAAUAGAAUUCUCACCCAUGAGGAGUCAUCCUAAUCAUUUUCAAUGAUUGAGGAACUCUGUUCAAACAAAUUAGAAAUUUUUAUCCUCUGAUGAUAAUUUUUCUAAUUUUUUACUAAUUUUCAAAAUCGGUAGGGGAGCGUUCCGCUCUAGGGUGAAGCAUAAACGAAAGUUAAUGUGGACAAAGCGGAAGUGAGAAUGUCGGCUUGAGUAACGCAAACAUUGGUGAGAAUCCAAUGCCCCGAAAACCUAAGGGUUCCUCCACUAGGUUCGUCCAUGGAGGGUGAGUCAGGUCCUAAGGCCAGGCCGAAAGGCGUAGUCGAUGG